UCGAGAAUAUUCCUCAAUGGACGAAAGUCUGAAGGAGCGACGCCGCGUGCAGGAAGAAGCCCCUCGGGGUGUAAACUGCUUUUAUAAGGGACGAAUUCAUGACGGUACCUUAAGAAUAAGAGGUUGCUAACUCUGUGCCAGCAGCAGCGGUAAUACAGAGACCUCAAACGUUAUCCGGAUUUAUUGGGCGUAAAGCGUCCGCAGGUGGGUUAUUAAGUUAAUGGUUAAAUCCUGGGGCUUAACUUCAGGACUGCUGUUAAUACUGAUAAUCUAGAGGUUGGAAGAGGCAAGCGGAACUGCCGGUGUAGUCGUAAUAAGCGCUGAUAUCGGCAGGAACACCAAAGGCGAAGGCAGCUUGCUAGUACAAACCUGACACUCAUGGACUAAAGCGUGGGGAGCGAAUAGG
rnacentral:rRNA from 1 species